rnacentral:snRNA from 1 species
UAACUUCCGCAGCACAUAUACUAAAAUUGGAACGAUACAGAGAAAAUUAGCAUGGCCCCUGCACAAGGAUGGCAUGCAAAUUCGUGAAGCGUUCCAUAUUUAA